UGUUGGCUGUGGACAAGAGGAUGGACUCUCUGGCGGUGAAGGGGGAGUGAGGGUGUGUGGGACGAGGAAGGGGGAUCAAUAACAUUCUCUUUCUAAAACAAGUUGCUCAAUUGGUGUGGUCAGCAUCAGAUUAUACCCUAAAAGCAAGGACCUUCCUCCAGAAACACUGACCAGAGAUAUCAGGACAAGCACCAGGCAUUAUAUUUCCCACUGUACCAGGGCAGGGAGCUCAGUUGUUGGACAGUACCAGGUUCUAGGUCCGGAGGGGUCCUACAGGACUAUACCAACUGGACUGAUCAAUAUCUGUCGCCCUCUAUCCCUCAUUUCCCUUUUGCUCUAGACAACCAGCUCUGACAGCUCCAGGGCUUAAGGGACUAUCAGGUUCAAGAGAAGAGAGAGAGAGGGAAUGGCAGGUGGGAGAGGCUCAUAGAGCAGCAGCUAUGGAGAGGGAAAGGGAGUGUGAGAGAAGGAUGCAGAGGGAUUGGUGGCAGAGGAAGUGGGAGCCCUGUAGUCCUGUCCGCUACAGGAGGGAGCCAGCCAAGAGAAGUCUGAGUGACAGUAACUAUCGGGAGCUGGAGGCCUGGGCGGCCUGCUGCAGCCACUCACUCCCUAGGAAGAGACGCCUGGAGGCAGGGCUGAGGGCGGGGGACGAGGGGGCACCGGAGAGUGAGAGAGUCCUGGAGAGAGAAUCAUGGGGCAACAGAAGUGGAACAGAACCCAUAGCAAGUGCAAUGCAUCUGGCGGGACUACAUCUUCAGCCAAGACAAAAGGGACAGUGGGAGAGGAGGGACAAACAGCAAACUAUGUGGCACCGCUUGUCUGAGCCGGUCAUUCCUUAUAUAACAUACCCAUCAGACACCAAGAAGAAUGAGACAAGCUACCAGAAGCGAGUGUUUAGUGAACCUCCAGGCUACAUUCCACCUUCACCUUAUAAUACCCCACAUAACAUUUCACCAGUAAUGCAACAUUCUGAGAAAUAUACCACUAAAGAAGCCAUGGCUUCUGUGUAAUCAGGGUGGGAUCCGAGAGCUAACAGACACAAAAACUACACACUGCCUACUCCGAGGAAGCAAGACUACUCUGUACUAGACUUUCAUAGGGAAAGGGGAGGGGGAGAUGAGUUUAUGAAAGAAGAGUGGAAGCAGAGGACCUGGUCUGAUCCUGGAGGGCAUAGGUAGCAAGGACAUGUUGUAGUUGGUCAAUGGACAGGCUUUCCAGCCCAUCCACAGAACAUGCCAAUCCAGUCUGAAAGACUCUCACCUCUGCUGCAGUCCCCACAACAGCCUCUGAUGGCCAACCUCAGUGAGAAGGCCUUUCUGUGCCACCACAGAAAGGAAAGUUAGUCUAAAGAAAGAGAGAGGAGACCAUAUUUUGCUUGGUGUCUCGCAUGUGGAGUGGCAGGGUUGCCAAGUUCUCCUGGAGAAACACUAAAACCCCUUUCUCUGCCACUCUUCACCACCUCCCCCCUAACAACUGUGUCAAACAGUGAGUUAAGCAGAGUAUUUAUUUUACCUUUAUUUAAAAUAAAAUUCACUUGUGUAAUUAAAACUCAUAAAAUAAAAACUCAUAAAGUUCCAUA